GUGUGACUGGGCAUGACAGUUACAGUGCUGUGCAGUAGCCUCCAAACUCAGGACUGUUGGCCCUGAGAAGGUAAUCUCAGUCUGUGAGAGUAAGAAGACCCAAUUACUCCCCAUUUAGCUGCAAAGUGGCUCUGGCUCUGGUUAGUAUGUGCAUGGAGGGAGCACCUGGCCAUCUCUCAGACUUGGAAAAGGAGAAUCUCAUGGCACUGGAGGUCAGCCAACAAUGGAAGAGGCAGCACAGUGAGGGGCGAUGCCUGCAUAGAAAGGUAUCAUGA
rnacentral:lncRNA from 1 species